AUGUAGAUUUAACUGUAGGAAAUAUACCCAGAAAUGGGGUUGCUGGCCCAAGGGAUCAGUGAAUCUGUAUUUUGGUGGUGAGAGGCUUCUAAGGGUGUCAGAGACAAAGUUGGGAGACUAGAUGGGCAGCCAAUGUGGCAGUCAAGGCAGAUGACAAGGCUUGGACCAAAGGAGCAAACGGAGAUGGACACGGAGAACAGAGCAGAGAUAUGUACCUAACAACAGAUGGAUUGAGAGAGCUUCAAACAGAGACACCAAUGUGGAAGCCUUUGCAGAGAUAUCCCAGUCUCCAUAUGCAAACCCAUCAAGAGGGAAACAUGGGAAAGGAGCCCAGAAGAAGAGGCCUGGGAGCCUCACUUUGCUUGUGUCCGACUCCCGAAUGUCUUUUCCUAAUAUGCAGAGUGAAACCUACGAGGAGAUGGCAUCAAGAAGUCCUGCUCAGACUCAACUUGAAGUUCUGGCUCCAGCACUUAAUUCUACCUUGGGAUUCUCAACUCUCUUUCAACCUCAGUUUCCUUAUUUGUAAAAUGGGCAGAAUGUUUUGUAACCUACCUAAGUAGUUUAAAAAAUGUUGUGUGUGUGUGUUUUGUGUGUGUGUGUUUUGUGUGUGUGUGUGUUUGUUUGUGUGUGUGUGUGUGUGUGUGUGUGUGUGUGAAACUAUGGAAACUGAGAGCCAGGCACAGAUGCUCAUGCCUAUAAUCCUAGUAGCUAAGAAGCUGAGGCAGAAGGAGUGCCAGGGUAAAGCCAGCCUCUGCAACUUAGUGAGGCCCUAAGCAACUUAGUGAGACCCUGUCUCAAAAUAAAAAAUAAAAAAGGGCUAGGGCUGUGGCUCAGUGGUUGAGCGCCCCUGGGUUAGAUAUUAAAGUGCAUAAGGUGCUACAGAUAUGACUACAAAGUUUUGGGGAGUCAGGCAUGGUAUUUUUUCAAAUAGAGCUCAAACAGUUCCCAUCUGCCAAACCUUGUUUCCCUUUUUGCUUUUCCUAAAAACUCUGUUGGCACUUGUUAUGAGCUAUUUUUUUUUCUUCUGUCACUUAAACUCUGUUCUAAUCUCUUCAAGAGCGAGGACCUAACUUUGUGGGCUGCAUACUCCCAGCUGGCAGGAAAGAUGGGGGGAAAUCCCCAAGGACUACACCAGAGUGGGAAGGCCAGAGUUAUGAGAGGAGCAGAGGUGGUCUUCUCAGAGGAGAGCAAAGACAAAUGAGAACUUUGAUGUCAUGGAGAAAUUCUGAGAUGAAGAGGAGUAUGGAGGGGCUUCCAUGAACUUGCCAAGAUCUUUGUAAAGAAAAAGGUCAAUCAGACAAGGAAAAGAGGGGAAGGGAGGAAGGGUCUUGAGAAAGAAUUUAUCAAAUUAUGGUGUCAAUCUAAUGCACCCCAUACCUUUCCAUUCCUGUGUGAGGAACAAAGGCCAUGUCUUGUUAGUGUUUGAAAAUCUCAGUGCCUAUCACAAUAACUCACACACAACACAGUUUUUUUUUGACUCUGAUGUGAGUAGAAAAUGAUGUUAUUGUUUAGUCAUUUUAUUAUUUAUGCUAUAUAAUAAUAAUAAAAUAUGUGGUAUAUGAUAACACAUGUACAUGACAUCAUGUGAGUAAUAGCACUUAUUAGCAUUUGAAUCAUGUAUUAGAACCCUAUGUCUAUUAUUUCAUUUAAUGUUAAGACAAGGUAAAUGCUAUAAUUAUGUCCAUUUUAGAGAUGAGAAGACUGAGGUUUUGAAAAGAAGUGUUGCAACAGGGUUAUAGAACAAGAGUAUUGAGUUAAUGAAAAUUCAAAUAAUUAGAGGAGAGAGUUAAGAGUCCAGCUGAGGCUAACCAGAUGACUUUGAGAAGGAACUUAGCAUAAUUCCUAUUUAUCCCCACAAUGUUCUGAAAGCUGGGGUAGUUGAUUGAGUUAUCUAGACUUAUAAUGCAAUGGUUAUGUGAAUAUCACCUGCGGUGUGCUCCACCUUGGGCCUAGUAGCUAUGAGUCACGUAAUAAAGAGGGUAUGCCUGUAAUCCCAGCAGCUCAGGAGGCUGAGACAAGAGGACCGCAAGUUCAAAGCCAGCCUCAGCAACAAUGAGGCACUAAGCAACUCAGUGAGAAC